rnacentral:snRNA from 1 species
GAAACAUGAUGGCACAACUCCAG